rnacentral:lncRNA from 1 species
AAUUUCAGUAAGAAAAUUAUCUUGAGAUAAAGUAGCAAGCUUAUAGCCAUUUUCCUUCAUCAACAAAAUCUCAGCACGAGCCAUAUUCAACUUUAAAUAGAAAACGACUCUAGAUUUUCCCUUUCCCAACAAAGAUUUGACUACAGGUUCCUCAACUGCACCCGACUGACCAUCAUGUGUAUUCUCCUUGGACAUAUCAUUUGAAGCAACCGCUGAUGAGGAAGCAUCACUGAAAGAUUCACAGCUUUCUUCCUGAGUGUUAAUAGAAUUCGCAAACUCCAUGAUGGCAAGUAUAGUGGGCCUACGACAAAAAAAUGACAAGGUGGAGAGGGUCACAGCCACCUGUAAAACACAGGAGAAGACAAAUCAGCAGAUCUCAUAUAUUGUAAAACCAUUUUUAUGGUCUCAUAGUGUGCCAAGUAGAUAAUAAAACGAGUCAUUAAAUAGAAAUGAAAACCAGAGUUUUAUCUCGAACAAGUGAGAUUACACACAGACGAAUUAUUUGGAUAAAUUACUUGACGAAAUGCAUAGUGUGGACAUUGGAGAUUUUCUGACACUGUAGAUUUGAAUUUUAAGUAUAUAAAUAGAACUCAAAAGUCUUGAAAGUGAGGGCGGCUGUGAAGAGGAAGAAGAUGAAUAAAAUAAUUGCCCCAGCUGGAACUCCUAUAGAUAAAUGGGGUGUCGGGAUGAGGGAGGUACUUUAUGGGAUAACAAAAGUUUCAAAAUCUUAAUGAGAUGAUAGAGAAUGGCUGUAGAGAGUCAGGAGUCAUAAUACGAAAUUAUACAAAUAUAUCAUUGAACAUAGAUGAAGGUGUAAUUCAAAGGUAUUAGAAUAAACUUCAUGCUACAGAGGAUCUACUAUAUAGGCUAUAUACUUAGAAGUGAAGAUGGACAAAGAAGAAUGAAAAAGAUCCCAUAUGGUUUUAUUAAUUUACAAAAGGCCUGCGGUAGGGUACGCACCAAACAGCUAUGGUAGGUGCAACAAAUAAUGAUAUAUUUACUAAGAAUAUGUAUGCUGGAGCAGUCACAAGCAUAAGAUGUAGUGCAUGUUUGAUAAAGCUUGUAUUAUAAAUUAAUUUGAUCAAAAAUACUUAUUAUUCACACAUUUGCUUUCCAAAAACGAUUAAUACACCAAUCUAUUCAUAAUGAUACCAUGAGCACUUUAGGGCUUCCUGAUUCCUUGACACCGAAUUCAAUUUAGUGGGAUCUUUCACCGGUGCUUCACUUUUCUAAGUAAUGGGGAAGAGCAGGGAGAAAGAGAGAGAGAGAGAGAGAGAGAGAGAGAGUAAAUAAAUGAAUAAAUAAAUAAAGGAAGAAGAAGAAGAUUUGAAUUUAAAAUCUUUUCAGAAAGCCAAUUCUUCUUUUUUAAGAAGGAAAUAAUAAAAUGAUUUUCCAAGCCGUAAAAAACACUCUAUUUAGAAAAUCUCAAAUCUCUCUCGACCCCGAGAAUGUACCAAAAUCAAUUUUUUUGGCGCAACAAGAAUUUGUAUAAAAAACCGUUUCAAUAUCAAAAACAACCUUGGAGGAUUAAAAGCAUGACUCUUGCAUAGAACCCACAACUACUACACGCUUAUUAUUUAUACGUGACAUAGUACCCACAACUUAUAAUCACUCCUAAACAUGCUAGUAUUAGUGAUAGUGAUGUAAGCGCGAAAGCGUAAAAACAAUUUGCAAACACCCUAUCGAAGUUCCGUUGAUUCCAAAGGAAUACUGCAACACAAUCUUCUAAUUUUUGUUGAUUCCUAAUAUUACUAGAAAUCUAGGCGUCAAAAUUCUUUGAUAUUUGGACUCGUUCAUUUGAAAUAUCAAAAUACCAAAAACUUGAGAGACUGGAGAAGAUCUCAAUAAUUAUAUUUUUAUUUCAAUUCAAUUUCCCCCACUGCGAUUGCUCAACUUUCUGUGGAAAUAAUAUAACUAGGAAACUUUUAGAGUUAAACCUAUCAUACAGAUGAGAAGCCGAAUCCCUUAUCAUAAGUUUCUGAACAAGAAAGAUAGGUUAACGUGAUUCCAUAUUAACAAGGAUGUCGUGCAAAUAAAAUGAUAAGCUGGAGGCUAAGAGUAGAACAAACAGACGUAAAAUACCUCCACAAAUGACUUUCCACCCGGAUUCCUCAUGUCACAUGCCCAGAAAUACAUAUGAUUGCUAUGAAGACUGUCAUCACUUAUUCUAAGAUUUCCAAGGGAUGCUUUUAUACUAAAAGAGGAAGGAAACACCUAAAAAAUGGAGAAAUGGAUAAUUUCAGAUUCAGAUAAGUAUAAUAUGCUAAACUCAAUAUGAAAAAAGAAGUGUAUUGCACCUUAAUUUCAGUAAGAAAAUUAUCUUGAGAUAAAGUAGCAAGCUUAGAGCCAUUUUCCUUCAUCAACAAAAUCUCAGCACGAGCCAUAUUCAACUUUAAAUAGAAAACGACUCUAGAUUUUCCCUUUCCCAACAAAGAUUUGACUACAGGUUCCUCAACUGCACCCGACUGACCAUCAUGUGUAUUCUCCUUGGACAUAUCAUUUGAAGCAACUGCUGAUGAGGAAGCAUCACUGAAAGAUUCACAGCUUUCUUCCUGAGUGUUAAUAGAAUUCGCAAACUCCAUGAUGGCAAGUAUAGUGGGCCUACAACAAAAAAAUGACAAGGUGGAGAGGGUCACAGCCACCU